CUUUCAUUUUUUCACAUGGUAGCAGACAGCUGGCAUGGCUCUAUCUGAGUUUGGCAGACUUGCUUAGUCAUCAUCAGAGGACCCUACACACCCCAGAGAUUCAUCCUUUAAACAUCUAAGCACAGGGCACACAGUUUCUAAAAGGAAGGUGGCUGAAGAUAUUCCAUUUUACCAAAACAAGAAGAUAUGGCCCAUUUCAUUCUUUUUCAUCAAAAAAGAAAGGAAGAAUAAUGAGAGACAUGGAUAUGGCCUCACUCACCAUUAGAGAACAAAGGGGGAGAUGUACAGACGGCUCUUGAUAAGGUUACAAGUGAAGCAUGGCCACCAAAUAAGACUAGUGAGGUACUGGGAGAGUUGAGGCUUGUAACACACACGGGACAAAAGAUACAGACUUUUUUUUUUUUUUUUUUGGCUGUAUGAAUUGAAUGUUUAAUAAAUGUGAUCGGAAAAUGAUAACAGGGAUGAUGCUGAAGACUCAAGCAUACUUCGGAGGAUAAUAAAGGAGGAAAAUCACUGUAUGAAA